CUCUAUUAGGAACAAGUUUGGUUCGCCGUCCGGUUCCUGUUCAACUUGCUUCCACUUUUUAUAAAAACUGUCUCGAUGCAGCGCCUUAUUAUGCAGCUAAAUGGCUUGAUGAGGAGUUACAAGAUAUUGGAGGAUGGCCUUUAAUUUCGAACAACCAGGAGGAAACAACUACAGUAAAUGUUGAGAAUGGAGAUUCGGAAAGUUCAGACUCUGAAGAUUUAGUCAAGGCCUCUGUUAACUGGACUGAUAGCUAUGUUAA